AGGACGAACGCUGGCGGCGUGCGUUAAACAUGCAAGUCGAGCGGGGGCAUUUCGGUGUCCCAGCGGCGGACGGCUGAGUAGCACGUGGCUGACCUGCCCUCGGGUGGGGGAUAGCGGGCCGAAAGGCCCGGUAAUCCCGCAUACGGUCUCUGUUUUACGGGGCGGAGAAGAAAGCCUUUCGGGGCGCCGGAGGAGGGGGCCGCGGCCCAUCAGGUGGACGGUGUGGUAAAGGCGCACCGUGCCUGCGACGGGUGGCCGGGCUGAGAGGCCGGACGGCCAGACGGGGACUGGGAGACGGCCCCGACGCCUACGGGCGGCAGCAGUAGGGAUCUUGCGCAAUGGGAGAAAUCCUGACGCAGCGACGCCGCGUGGGGGACGACGGCCUCGGGUCGUAAACCCUUUUCGUGGGGGACGAGGAUGGACGGUACCCCAGGAAUAAGCACCGGCUAACCCCGUGCCAGCAGCCGC
rnacentral:rRNA from 1 species